rnacentral:rRNA from 1 species
CAGUCGCCGCGGGAAUACGGAGGGUGCAAGCGUUAAUCGGAAUUACUGGGCGUAAAGCGCACGCAGGCGGUCUUUCAAGUCGGAUGUGAAAUCCCCGGGCUCAACCUGGGAACUGCAUUCGAAACUGGCAGGCUAGAGUCUUGUAGAGGGGGGUAGAAUUCCAGGUGUAGCGGUGAAAUGCGUAGAGAUCUGGAGGAAUACCGGUGGCGAAGGCGGCCCCCUGGACAAAGACUGACGCUCAGGUGCGAAAGCGUGGGGAGCAAACAGGAUUAGAUACCCCUGUAGUCCCUGUCUCUUAUAC